rnacentral:rRNA from 1 species
UGAGUAACCUGCCCUUAACUCUGGGAUAAGCCUGGGAAACUGGGUCUAAUACCGGAUAUGACUCCUCAUCGCAUGGUGGGGGGUGGAAAGCUUUAUUGUGGUUUUGGAUGGACUCGCGGCCUAUCAGCUUGUUGGUGAGGUAAUGGCUCACCAAGGCGACGACGGGUAGCCGGCCUGAGAGGGUGACCGGCCACACUGGGACCGAAACACGGCCCAGACUCCUACGGGAGGCAG